rnacentral:rRNA from 1 species
GAUGAACGCUAGCUACAGGCUUAACACAUGCAAGUCGAGGGGAAACGACAUCGAAAGCUUGCUUUUGAUGGGCGUCGACCGGCGCACGGGUGAGUAACGCGUAUCCAACCUGCCCACCACUUGGGGAUAACCUUGCGAAAGUAAGACUAAUACCCAAUGAUAUCCCACGAAGACAUCUGAAUGGGAUUAAAGAUUUAUCGGUGAUGGAUGGGGAUGCGUCUGAUUAGCUUGUUGGCGGGGUAACGGCCCACCAAGGCAACGAUCAGUAGGGGUUCUGAGAGGAAGGUCCCCCACAUUGGAACUGAGACACGGUCCAAACUCCUACGGGAGGCAGCAGUGAGGAAUAUUGGUCAAUGGGCGAGAGCCUGAACCAGCCAAGUAGCGUGCAGGAAGACGGCCCUAUGGGUUGUAAACUGCUUUUAUAAGGGAAUAAAGUGGGUCACGUGUGACUUUUUGCAUGUACCUUAUGAAUAAGGGCCGGCUAAUUCCGUG